AAGGAAAGGAUAUGUCGGUGAAAGGGAUAGCCUUUUUCAACAACUCCAGUAAGGCCCCUCCCCACCAUGUCCUCAUGUCUCCUUUCUGACUGCCUCAACACCACCCAAAGAAGUCAUAGUACAGCAAAGUUUUCUGUGAGCUUAACUAUCCCACACCUGAGUUCCCCGUCUGACUAUGAUGAGAAGGACUGCUUCUCUGGUGAAAUAAGAAACUCUCUUAAAUCUGAGGACCAAGUGGGUCACUGACUUGAAGAUCCUGAAUGCUAGAGGUUUACUCCAAAGAUGAAUGGAGAAUAAGAGGUCAACAUUCAUUGGAGAAAAGCAAGCACCAUGAUGUAGAGAGUCCAAGAUUAAAAAUCCACAGCAACAACAAUGAAAACCCAGAAAAAUCUAUAGCAGGAAAACAUUAAACAAGGACAACUGGGAUACUGCCAUCAGUUUAAGAAGCCUUUCUAAGAAAACCGCCGGAAGCAUCAGCCCUCUCUGAUGGGAAGGCAACAUGGGCAAGCAGUGGAAACAAGCAGUGGAGACUGGGUUCCAGGCACAGCUAGGACACUAAGGUGCCACGCAGCCUUGGACAACUCAC